rnacentral:tRNA from 1 species
GCCGAAGUGGUGGAAUGGUAGACACGACGGUCUCAAAAACCGUUGGGGCAACCCGUGGGGGUUCGAGUCCCCCCUUCGGCACCA